UCGAUGAAGAACGCAGCGAAAUGCGAUAAGUAAUGUGAAUUGCAGAAUUCAGUGAAUCAUCGAAUCUUUGAACGCACCUUGCGCCCUUUGGUAUUCCGAAGGGCAUGCCUGUUUGAGUGUCAUUAAUUAUCAACCUUGCUCGCUUUACUAGCUUGAGUUUGGCUUGGAUGUGAGGGCUUUGCUGGCUUCCUUCAGUGGAUGGUCUGCUCCCUUUAAAUGCAUUAGUGGGAUCUCUUGUGGACCGUCACUUGGUGUGAUAAUUAUCUAUGCCUUGAGACUUUGAAGCAAACUAAUGGGAACCUGCUUAUAACCGUCUUCGGACAAUCUCUGACAUUUUGACCUCAAAUCAGGUAGGACUACCCGCUGAACUUAA
rnacentral:rRNA from 1 species